rnacentral:lncRNA from 1 species
GAGCUGUUGCUCUCCUCAAGCCCAAUAAUGUUGAAUCAAUGGAAGAAUGACAAGCAUUUGUCAAAGAGCGCAAUUCUCAACAGUAUAAGGCAAGCUGUCAUUACUUUUUCCUAAAUUGCUUACUGCAUCUGCUCUAUAUUCCUAAUAAAAAUAAUUUUUACACAUUACUAAUUGAUGUUGUAGGAAAAAAGUGAAAGAUUCAGAAAGAUGAGAGCAGGUCAAACCUUAAUGCAUACAACAAGUAGAAAGGGCUUUGCUCGUUUAGAAGUUGAAAUGGUAAAAAAUUGUUAAAUUUAAAGUUAAAUUUGCUUGACGAAUUAUAAACGUUUACGUUAUUACAUAUAUGAAAUAAGUGAAAUGCAACGUGCCGAAAGUGAAGACCCAGAUUCCAUAAUGAGAGAUGAUGUUUAUAUUCGAUGGCAUACGCGAAAAAAUGGUGAACCUAUUAAUGAAUCAGCUGGGGAAACAAUGGUAACAAUAUUGCUUUUCGUGAUUUUUGGUCAUUCAAAGCUUAUAUUUAUAAUUUUAGCCCAUUAAUUUAUUUCCUAAUAUUAGAACAAAAUAAAAGCAUGUUCAGAGAUGAUUACCUCUCCUAGCCAACACUCCCUUAAAGAUGAUGGUGUUGCUAGAGUACUUGGUCCUGAACGUCGAGGAAGGGUAAGAGGUCUUGGUUUCGG